CACAACCAUACUAUUCUCGUAAAGAACUACUAGUCUACUCAUAACAAGCAUUGUUUUCCUAUAAGUUUUUGGAGAAGAGAGAUUGUGUAUGACCUCUGCGGGAAUCAAUUGUUCAUCAUAGAGUUUCUUCUCAAGGUAAGAUUCGAAAUUUAACUUAUUCAUUCAUUAAUUUUUGUUCAAAUUAAUAGGGGUAUGAUUACACUUGUGUGUAUAUGGAUGUUGACGUUUCUUUUGGGAUGUUGGUGCUCAAGAAUUUGUGGUAUUGUUGAUUACAAUUAUCCUAAUUUAGGGUUUUGGAAUUUGGGCUUAAGAAACAAUAGUUUGUGGCAUGAUCGAUUUCAGUGUGCAAUCCAUUUGUGGUAUUCUCUUAUUUUCUCCUUCUUUAUAAAGUGAUAUUUGGUUUUCUUUAUGUGGAGUUUCAAAAAUUAAAUCUUUCUCCAAUUCACUUUUCAAAAAUUUAGAUCCUUAGAGGAAUAGAAAAAUUGCUUGAAAAUUCGAUGGUCAUUCUGGUGGUGGAAACUUACUUGUGAUUUGUGAUUUGCAAUUUUUUGGAUUUUAUGGCCUAAAGUUAUCUUUUGAGUUUAAGGUAUCUAAUUUAUGUUCGUGUUUUGGCUUCACUGAAUCACUAUGUUUCGAGUUCACAACUUGUUGGGAAAGGUGACAUUUUAAACUUUUAUUUAAUUUGUGUUGUCUCUUUUAGAGAAUUGUUGUCCAGUUCUUAUGAAAAAGGUGAAUCACUGCCUAUUGAAAUGAUAAGUGUAAUGAUGCAAAUGUCGUAAGAGGUUUAGUUUGUUGCUGAUGAAAAAUUAAUUUGAUUUAUUCAUUAUAACAAUUAACAACAAAGUCUUGGUGGAGCUAGCAAUAUUAAAAGAAAUGUAUGAAAUUAAACAAAGAGAAAAAGAACAAAAAACAAAAUUAGUAAACGAGAUAGUCAAAUUUAAAGAAAAAUUGCAAUUACAAGAUGAAUUAGAAGAAAAAGAAGAAAAUAGCCAAGAUAAUCUACCCGAAAUAAGAAUUGAUGAAAUAAACGACGAUGAUCUAGAACAACAUUCGGAAACAAGCGAAACAUAUACGGAAAUUUUAGCAAACAUAGAUAAUACAUGAUGCAAAUGUCGUAAGAGGUUUAGUUUGUUGCUGAUGAAAAAUUAAUUUGAUUUAUUCAUUAUAACAAUUAACAACAAAGUCUUGGUGGAGCUAGCAAUAUUAAAAGAAAUGUAUGAAAUUAAACAAAAAGAAAAAGAGCAAAAAACAAAAUUAGUAAAUGAGAUAGUCAAAUUUAAAGAAAAAUUGCAAUUACAAGAUGAAUUAGAAGAAAAAGAAGAAAAUAGCCAAGAUAAUCUACCCGAAAUAAGAAUUGAUGAAAUAAACGACGAUGAUCUAGAACAACAUUCAGAAACAAGCGAAACAUAUACGGAACUUUUAGCAAACAUAGAUAAUACAAAGGAUCCUUUAUUGUCCACACAAUUUGCAACUAAAUCUUCUAGAUAUACAUAGUUUUUUUGCUAAGUAUUCCACCUUUUAAGAAAGAUUAGAGUUGGCAAAAUUGAGAUCUUUUACUUUACUAUGAAUCAGCUCAAGACAAUUUGUUCUAAUUUUGAAGUAUUAAGUUAACUGAAAACAAGAAACAACUGAACAUAUGGGGGCAACGAGGCUGAUUAUAUUUGACUAACUAGCAAAUUUUUUAUAUAAUUUAUCUUUUUAAACACUACAUAUGAUAUGGGCCUAGAAUAUCUUUACUAUCUUUGUAUUGUAUAACACAAUAGCUUCACCUGACAUCUUGGUUUCACCUAUGGGUGUCACCAAAUGUGCACCAAUACUUCUUAUGGUAGUCGACAAUAUUCUGAUCUCAACAUUUCUUUUCGAGUUGUUGAGUACUGCCAAACAAAAGAACAUGUAACUUGUAGUUUCUGUUUACUGAGUCGUUCAUGCAGCCAUGGUGCCACCAUAGGGAAUGCCUUAUCCAAUUAUCUACCCCUUAGGGAAUUGUUAUGAUAAUCAUGUUCCUCUUUUGUAAGUUUCCUUUCUAUUGUUGUUUUUGUUAAUGGAUUUGAUAAUUUUUCUUCACUUUGGUCUUUUAUUUUUUUUAGUGUAUAUAGUUUAUAUCUUAAGAUUUGCAUUGAUUAGUAAGAAAAAAAAUAUAUCUUUGUUUUAAAAUUUGUCUUGUGACAGCCUUGAGUUUUCUUGGUUGGCCAAAAUUUACCCUGAUUUCAUGCUCAUUGAUUGGUUCAAUCUUUUCAGUUUAAGAGGGUCGUCAUGAUUUAUGCUUCCCUUAAACAAUGGACUCAACUUUAGUAUUUGAGUAAUUUAUGUUAAGUUUGUAUCUAAUUAAUUGAUUUACUCGACUUUACGGAAAUAUUUUAGUAGCUAACAGAUUCUAUGUUAUAGCUUGAUUUGAAAUCAUGUGAUAGACUUGGUACUUGUCUAUUUUUGGUAAAUUUUGAUAGAUUUUAGCUUAGUAAUCUUUUUUUUAUCCGAUGUCCCCGAAAGGACUUUUAGAUUAGUAAUAUAAUUUGCUGAAUUUAAGAAUUUUUGGUACUCCGUGAUAGAUGUUUUGCUUACUGUCUUGGGCUGAUUCUUUCUACUAUAAAAAAAAACUCCUUUCCUCUUUCCUUGGCAUGAUCACUGAACUACUAGACAACCCCUGGAGCUCUCUCCUCUUUACUGAUAACACAAAGCUCUCCUCCUUUUCUUUAAUUAUUUAAAAAAGGCAUCAUUUUUCUUUUGAAUCAUGGAUCACUGGGAAAUCCCUUCACGCUUCUCUCCUUUUUCUUUGAUAUUCUUUGAUAAAUAGAAGUUCUUGACAGAGAGAACACACUUUCAUUAUCCCAUUCACAUCAUUUUAAAACUUUCAUAUUUUAAAUUAAAAACUAUACUUAAUUUCUUUUUUUAUGGCCCUGUUCUCAACUAACUAGGAAGAUUUGGUUACUUUGUCUUUUUACCUUCCUUGAUGAGCACUGCUCACAAUCUGUAUAAUUCUUGUGAUCUUGAUGUGUCGAGAUUGAAUUGUGCUUGCUUGAACUGAUGUGUAUCAAGUGUUAUUGUUCUCCUGUUCUUCUUGAAAGACUGUUUCUUCUUGAUCGGUUAGUUUCCAUCGAAGUAAUUUCAAUUCUUAAUAUGAUAGUUUGUUGUAUUUUCAUUAACUAUACAGGUUGGAAAGCUUGAAUUCAUUAGGCAUUCUAUGAAAGCAUACAUGUACGUAUUCCUGAUCCUAUAUGUGCCCCCAUGACCUUGAACUUGAUGAUAUUUGUAAGCUGAAUGGAUCUUUGAAUCUCAUAUUGUGUAAUGUGACACUAGGAUAUUUGUCUAAAGUGUUAAACUUGUGCCUACUAUUUAGAGUAUGUUUAUAUAGGAUGUCAAGCUACUACCUCUUGCCUGAGAGUGUAUUUUGGGUGCAUGGUUUUUUUCAUCAAGAACUUAAUUAGUUUAACACUAUUAAGAAUGUUGGCUCAUAGCAUUCAUUAGGACUUGACCUAUUGUCUUCUCCUUUAUUGAUAUGUUUUAUGAAGACUAAGUGAUGUAUUUCAAUACAUAGAAAUUAUAAAAAAUAUAUUUUUCAUUUAUCUACCAGUGCCAUGUCUCUCUUGCAUUGGCUAUAAGUCCUUUUGAAGCUAUGCGUACUCAAAUAUACCUUAAGAUUUGUUUGGUUUUGCCUCAAUUAAGGAUCAUGUAAUAAACGAGUGUUUUGGCUAAACUUAAUAAAUACUAGACAUCAGAUAUUUUGUUACUUCUCUAUCUUCUCAGUUGGUUUCUAAAUACCUAUGUUAAAAUGUGCAUAUGCAUUCAUCUCCAAAGGCAUGUUUGCUUUAGUUCUUGACCCUUAUGCCUAAGUCGUAGGUAUCACUAUAUUGAUAUUGCCAUUAAUAAACCUUUGCUUGAAUAUAUAUAUAUAUACAAUGUUUUAUAGUUUAAUAUAUUUGUCUUAUCUUGUCUGAUCUUUGUAUGUUGGCAUCGAGUAUAUUGGUGUGUGUGUGUUUCUUUGGUGUCUAUAGGAGACUAGUUCGACAUUGGGAUGGGUUGAAGAGCUGCUUAGGAUUUGAAAAAAUGGGGUGCAACACUAGUUCAACUAAGACAGUAUAAUACUGACUAGAGUUAAGGUGUGUGAUAUAAUCAAUCUUUUCUUGUUGCCUAGUGUAUUUUGAUUAUUAGACUUUUUUUUUCUUCUUGAAACAUGCUUUGUUAAAUAAUUGGACUUUAUAUUCAUGUAUUGUGUUGUGAAUAAUAUUAUAGAAGGUGUAUUUUAUGUUGUUGUGUAAUUAAGUGUAAACUUGUUUGAACAGUGAGUUUGUCUACUUUGGAGUUUCCCAAUUCGUGUGAGAUUCUUGACAAAAGAAUCUGCCCCUCUUAUAAUUACUUGUUUUUUAUAUAAAAAAAAAGUUAUCUAUAAGAGAAAUACAAUCUUUUAAGGAUAAUUUCUGAUUUCUAGUCUUUAUUGACUAAUGAUAAUUUAUUGACAGUGCAGGUCAAGAAGGACAAUCUCCAUAAGAUAAACAAGUCUGAUAGUAUCAAGUUCAUCGUCAUUUCUUCAAUUGUUGGUUGUUGAUGGAUUAAAACGUAUCACUGUCCCAAAAAAGUGGGUUGAGUUUAGCUAUUUGGAUGAUAGAUUUGAGUGACCUUUAAAAUGGCUUUAAAGCAAGUUGAAGAACAAGAGGAACCAAAUUUUGUUUCCCUUAGGGUGGUUAAUUAUGUUCCUAUCUGUACCCGCAAAAAUUAUAUUGUGAUCUUUCCUUAGGAGUUGACAAAGGCAAUUUUGUACAAUAUUGGAUGGUUAUAUUUUUAUGUAAUGUGAUGCUUUUGGUUCUUCAUAAUUUAUUACGAAAUUUCAUAUAAA
rnacentral:lncRNA from 1 species